GUAGUCCGGAUUGGAGUCUGCAACUCGACUCCAUGAAGUCGGAAUCGCUAGUAAUCGUGGAUCAGAAUGCCACGGUGAAUACGUUCCCGGGCCUUGUACACACCGCCCGUCACACCAUGGGAGUGGGUUGCAAAAGAAGUAGGUAGCUUAACCUUCGGGAGGGCGCUUACCACUUUGUGAUUCAUGACUGGGGUGAAGUCGUAACAAGGUAACCGUAGGGGAACCUGCGGUUGGAUCACCUCCUUACCUKAAAGAA
rnacentral:rRNA from 1 species